AAGACUCCUGGAAGAACACCAGGUUGAUAGGUCAGAGAUGUAAGCAUGGCAACAUGUUAAGUUGACUGAUACUAAUAAGUCGAGGGCUUGACCAAAA
rnacentral:rRNA from 2 species